GCCGGUUUCUAAUCCCAUCUGUGGUUUGGAACACCACGUUAAUCGGAGCGAGAGUGUCAAUAACUCCGCCCACCAUGCAUGCAUAGAGACGAUGUGUACGCUCGAGGCCGCUGGGAUGUCUUGUAUCGCACGUAGACGUAAGACCCGCGGUCUCAGUGUCAUUCCACCCACCUAACUUGAAUAAAUGCGAGGAACUUACAACUGGUAGCGUUGGAUCCCUCGGCAUGGCAUUCGAUGAAGGACGCGGCCAGCUGCGAAAUGUAAUGUGAAUUGCAACUCAAAGCGGUUAUCGUGAAUCAUUGACUUUUUGAACGCAUUGCACCGCCCUUUUGGGAGUGGUACGCCCGAUUGAGUGUCAUAAUGAUCCUCAGGCAAAGGCAUUUCAACCGUUCGCUCGGUGAGGGUGUUGAGGCUGCAAACCAUCUCUAUGAGGUGGUGGAGGUGUCGGCGCUCGGAUGCAUUUGCACUGGUAUCGAGACUGCACGGCACAUCCGGUGUCGCGUGUCUUCAGAACGAUUAGUGGUCGCUUGUCAUGUUCAAGUUUGACUCUGUGUAGUAACCAAAGAUGCAUGGAGGAGUGCUGCGUGCACGCUUGUGAUGAUGGCUCCGCUUCUAACUCGCCCUUGGGCAAACCUCAGGCUCUCGAGCCGAGCAUUAUGAAAUGGCCUCACUUGGGUGGGACGACCCGCUUGAUUUAAGCAUAUUAUUCAGCGGAGGAAAAGAAACUA
rnacentral:rRNA from 1 species